rnacentral:rRNA from 1 species
GACGAACGCUGGCGGCGUGCUUAACACAUGCAAGUCGAACGGUGAAGCGCUUUCCUUUUUGGUUGGUGUGGAUGAGUGGCGAACGGGUGAGUAACACGUGAGUAACCUGCCCCCUUCUGCUGGAUAACCGCAUGAAAGUUUGGCUAAUACGGGAUAUUCUGCGCCUGCGGCAUGGUGGGUGUGGGAAAGAUUGUGCCUUUGGGUGUUUUCGUUGGGGGAUGGGCUCGCGGCCUAUCAGCUUGUUGGUGGGGUGAUGGCCUACCAAGGCGGUGACGGGUAGCCGGGCUGAGAGGGUGGACGGCUAGACUGGGAAUGCGACACGGACCAGACUGCGACGGGAGGCAGGAGUGGGGAAUAUUGCACGAUGGGCGCAAGCCUGAUGAAGCGACGCGGCGUGAGGGAUGGAGGCCUUCGGGUUGUGAUCCUCUUUCGAAAGAGAAGCAGGCCUGCUCCAUGUGGGUGGGUUGACGGUAGCUGGAGAAGAAGCGCCGGCUAACUACGUG